rnacentral:rRNA from 1 species
AGCCGCGGUAAUACGGAGGAUGCAAGCGUUAUCCGGAUUUAUUGGGUUUAAAGGGUACGUAGGCGGAAGAUUAAGUCAGUGGUGAAAUCCUGCAGCUUAACUGUAGAACUGUCAUUGAUACUGGUUUUCUUGAAUGUAGUUGAGGUAGGCGGAAUGUGUAAUGUAGCGGUGAAAUGCUUAGAUAUUACACAGAACACCGAUUGCGAAGGCAGCUUACUAAACUGCGAUUGACGCUGAGGUACGAAAGCGUGGGGAGCGAACAGGAUUAGAUACCCUGGUAGUCCACGCUGUAAACGAUGAUCACUCGUUGUUGGCAAUACACCGUCAGCGACUGAGCGAAAGCAUUAAGUGAUCCACCUGGGGAGUACGACCGCAAGGUUGAAACUCAAAGGAAUUGACGGGGGCCCGCACAAGCGGAGGAACAUGUGGUUUAAUUCGAUGAUACGCGAGGAACCUUACCUGGGCUUAAAUGUAGAACGACGGAUCGGGAAACUGAUCUUUCUUCGGACGGUCUGCAAGGUGCUGCAUGGCUGUCGUCAGCUCGUGCCGUGAGGUGUCGGGUUAAGUCCCAUAACGAGCGCAACCCUCAUCAUUAGUUGCCAGCGGGUAAUGCCGGGGACUCUAAUGAAACUGCCGGUGUAAACCGAGAGGAAGGUGGGGAUGACGUCAAGUCAGCACGGCCCUUAUGUCCAGGGCUACACACGUGUUACAAUGGUCGGUACAAAGGGCAGCUACCUGGUAACAGGAUGCUAAUCUCGAAAACCGGUCUCAGUUCUGAUCGGAGUCUGCAACUCGACUUCGUGAA